CUCAUUAGUAUUUUCCCGCCCACUGGGACACCUGACUGUGGACGCGGACGCCGGAGUUCAGCUUCUCUCAGCGCAAAAACGUCUUCAAAAAACUGUUAAAAGACGUUUUUCAGAAGCGCGACUUUUCCACAGUGUAGUAAAUUCAGGAGACUAGCUGAGGUAGAGGACCUGAGGGCUUACAAGGAACAUAAAACGACAGAGACUCAGCAAGAGUGUACCUGAUCUGUGGUGGUUCCUCACCCUCCUGUGGGUUCCUCACCACUGAAGACCAAGGUUUCGUAUGCAGAGAAACAGAAGGACUACACUGUACUACAGACUUUACAGGUAGUUCUACAACUAUAAAUUGUGGAGCUGAUAUAGUG
rnacentral:lncRNA from 1 species